rnacentral:rRNA from 1 species
UACGGGGGGGGGCAAGCGUUGUUCGGAAUUACUGGGCGUAAAGGGCUCGUAGGUGGCCAACUAAGUCAGACGUGAAAUCCCUCGGCUUAACCGGGGAACUGCGUCUGAUACUGGAUGGCUUGAGUUCGGGAGAGGGAUGCGGAAUUCCAGGUGUAGCGGUGAAAUGCGUAGAUAUCAGGAGGAACACCGGUGGCGAAGGCGGAUCUCUGGGCCAUUACUGACGCUGAGGAGCGAAAGUGUGGGGAGCGAACAGG